AGUGAACGCUGGCGGUAGGCCUAACACAUGCAAGUCGAACGGCAGCACAGUAAGAGCUUGCUCUUACGGGUGGCGAGUGGCGGACGGGUGAGGAAUACAUCGGAAUCUACUUUUUCGUGGGGGAUAACGUAGGGAAACUUACGCUAAUACCGCAUACGACCUACGGGUGAAAGCAGGGGAUCUUCGGACCUUGCGCGAUUGAAUGAGCCGAUGUCGGAUUAGCUAGUUGGCGGGGUAAAGGCCCACCAAGGCGACGAUCCGUAGCUGGUCUGAGAGGAUGAUCAGCCACACUGGACCUGAGACAGGGUCCAGACUCCUACGGGAGGCAGCAGUGGGGAAUAUUGGACAAUGGGCGCAAGCCUGAUCCAGCCAUACCGCGUGGGUGAAGAAGGCCUUCGGGUUGUAAAGCCCUUUUGUUGGGAAAGAAAAGCAGCAGGUUAAUACCCCGCUGUUCUGACGGUACCCAAAGAAAAGCACCGGCUAACCUCGUG
rnacentral:rRNA from 1 species